AACGAUGAACCUCACUUGUGGGGGGANUAGUGGCGAACGGGUGAGUAACACGUGAGUAACCUGCCCUUGACUCUGGGAUAAGCCUGGGAAACCGGGUCUAAUACUGGAUACGACCUUCCCGCGCAUGCGGUGUUGGUGGAAAGCUUUUGUGGUUUUGGAUGGACUCGCGGCCUAUCAGCNNNGNNGGUGGGGUAAUGGCCUACCAAGGCGACGACGGGUAGCCGGCCUGAGAGGGUGACCGGCCACACUGGGACUGAGACACGGCCCAGACUCCUACGGGAGGCAGCAGUGGGGAAUAUUGCACAAUGGGCGCAAGCCUGAUGCAGCGACGCCGCGUGAGGGAUGAAGGCCUUCGGGUUGUAAACCUCUUUCAGUAGGGAAGAAGCUGAUUCCUUUUGGGGUUGGUGACGGUACCUGCAGAAGAAGCGCCGGCUAACUACGUGCCAGCAGCCGCGGUAAUACGUAGGGCGCAAGCGUUAUCCGGAAUUAUUGGGCGUAAAGAGCUCGUAGGCGGUUUGUCGCGUCUGCCGUGAAAGUCCGGGGCUUAACUCCGGAUCUGCGGUGGGUACGGGCAGACUAGAGUGCAGUAGGGGAGACUGGAAUUCCUGGUGUAGCGGUGAAAUGCGCAGAUAUCAGGAGGAACACCGAUGGCGAAGGCAGGUCUCUGGGCUGUAACUGACGCUGAGGAGCGAAAGCAUGGGGAGCGAACAGGAUUAGAUACCCUGGUAGUCCAUGCCGUAAACGUUGGGCAC
rnacentral:rRNA from 1 species